CUUCUUUAAUUCCUUUGUUGGUGUCUUCUUUAUCCUUUCUCUCUGUCUCUCACUCUCUCACUCUCAGUGUCACCGUUGCAAUGACUGGCUUGGCACAAAUGUCCUAUAUGCUUAAAUUCAUCAUCCUAUUUCAAUUUGGUUUAGUGAUCAUUCAACACCUGACCUGGAAGAAUUCAGAAUUCAGCGGGGGUACAUUCUCAGCUGAUGGAGAUGGUCAAGGGGUUACCACCAGUCUGUUUCUUGCGCUGAUAAUUUUUCUAGACAUUAGAUCUCACCAUUUGUUCCCAACAAAGAAAGAAAGACAGGACCACCAGACUCUACAGGUAUGCAGCUGUGGCAGUGGAGAGAUAAUGGGAGCUGGAGUGGGGAG
rnacentral:lncRNA from 1 species